ensembl:lncRNA
AAUGUAGUUUAAUGGUGGUGUCCCUGCCUGUGGCUGGGGUGGGUUUGUUCUACGUGUUCAUGAAGGUUUCUUCCAACCAAUACCGUUCUAUGAUUAUUUUAAUUUUUGUAGUUUAAUGAAUAGAUUGGCUGGAUACAGCUUUUUGCCUGUCUCAGCAACCACACUGUCUUCUGCUUAUGGUAAUUUGUAAGAAUAGACAGUAAUGACCUUGUGCUUCUGGAAGGCAAAAGCAAAAUGGAUGAGGAAAAUUCACAGUACAGAUGAACAACUCUGCAAGGAUUAUUGUUGGAUUACAAGCUGUUCACUCUGUCUUUAUUGGUGGGGGAGAAGGAAUGUAAGGAUGUUACUUGGUUGAUCCGUCUUCUCAAAUUCCCAUGUUACCUUAUGUUUAUUUUGUCUUCUGGUACUAUGUGGUGUUUUAGUAAAUACUGUUCUUAUUAAUGUGUUAGGCUAUUUGCAGGCAACUCAGAUGGUGCCAGUGUAAGGAACCAGAAGUGUGAAUAUCUGAUGCUCUCUUUCAGUAGUUCAUGGCUGAAGCAAGUAUUUUUUUUUUUAACUGUUCGUACUGGACUGUAGUGAUGCCUACGUGUACAUAAACAGGAUCUUAUGUAAUGGUUGGUCUUGAGGAAACCCUGGUGAUAACUGUUUUUAUCAGAGUAUUAAUUAUUGCCUCUUUGAGGUCCGAACAUUGAUUUCUCAUCUUGUAUUUCCUUUAUUUCCUUAAACGUUUUGCAAAAUCUCUUAGCUGAUAGAAAUUUCUCAUGGUCUUCUAGAAGGAGAGAAGCCCAAUAGGAAUAUUUUUAAUACAAUUAAAUUACCUUUACUUGUCUAGGUGACCUGGCACUUUGGAGAUCAUAGUUUUAAGAAUCAAUAACUCAUUUGCUGAAACAGAUACAAAAUGGACUAUGGUAUUGUGUCCAUCUGCAGUUAAUUCUGUGGAAACGAGAAGUUCUCAUCUGGCAUUGAUGUUUAAGUGAGAACAUGUUCCUCAAUAUCUAUAAAAGGGCCUCAAAAUGGAAGGCCUUGCUUUCACUUCUGUGAAGGCUCUUACUUGGCAGUAUUUCACAAACUGAGCACAAAUGUUAUGUGCAAGGGACAAAAAAAAAAAAUGCUAAUUAGAUUAAAAUUAGUUCCUAGGGUAGGGAUUGUUUUCUCCUUAGUUACUUUCCAUCUGCCCUUCUCCAAUGCCCCCUCCUUUGCCAAAGUGCCAAGUGAUUUGUGACUUCCUAUUUUUUAAACUUGAUCCAUUGCAGUGUGAAUUCUAAAUCAUCCUUAAAACAAAACCAUUCAGCAAUUGCUAAAAGUUUGUUGCUUCGUACACGAGCCAAAUGUCAGCAACUCUUUCAGAAGAGACAGGUGCCUUAAUAUAACGAGACACUUGCUGCAUGCUUCUGCAUUAAGUGACAUUGAAUUGCUGAGAUAUUGGCAAACCUGUCCAGUAGACACUCAGCUUGUCUUCCUCUGCUGGUUCUAGUUCACUUCACUUAUGCUGACUCUUCUCUUUUCUUUUGUCAUUUGAGAAUUUCCUAUUCAAUGUAAACCUCCUUUUGAGACUAAUUAAAAUCAAGCUAGAGAGAUUCUUUGAAGCAAAAGCACUAUAAAGAAUUAAACUCUCAUUAGUAAUAAGAGAAUAUUAUAAAUAUUAUAUUCCUUCCUCUUUUUUUUUGCUGUUGAUCUUAUAGUUGUGUAGUUGUGAUAUUUAAGAACUGCUUAUAAAGUUUGCUUUCUUAUUCUCUGUACUGCUUUUAUUUGCAUGUGUUAUUUUAUACAUGUGGUGUCUGCUGUUGUGGUAAGGUUAUGAAAAGUGUCUGCUGACUUUAAGUAAGAAAUAAAAUCUUUCUCAUUUCUUAAACUGACUUAGUGUACAGUAACAUCUGAAUUUUUUUUGUGGUCAGAUUCUGGGUUCUUGUUGACUUCUGUCUAUGGAAUGCUGCAGACUAUGUGCAGGUAGGGUGAGGAGAGACUGUCUAGAUGUAGUAAGUAACUGUGAAUAUUUUUAUAUUAUCUGAGCAUCUCCUAAUCUUAGCUUGUCACGCAAAGCCUGGAGGUUAUUUUAAUCUUGUUUUGCACGUAGGAAUCUGUGACAAGAAUUAUCUAAAGUGACAUAAGAACAUGAAGGUAGACUAUCUUCAGCUUUCUUGUACGGUAGAGCUAAUUGCUUUAACUCUAUUGUCUCUGUUCCCUGUAAGACUGAGCCAAGAAAAGCAUAGUUCUUGUGUAGGGUUUUCUUCAGCAAGUCGUAAUGUAUCAAUUCAAAUCUUUAUUUGAAUGAACAAACUCCAGAGGAUUUUGUUUCACUUCAUAGUUCAACUUUUGCACUGUUAGUGGAAUUUGUAGAAUAAAAUCUAAGAAUGUUG